GGCAGUGUAGCAUAGUGGUAGGGAGCAUGACUCAUAACCAGAAGGUUGCUGGUUCGAUUCCCUGCUGGGGCAA